rnacentral:rRNA from 1 species
GAUGAACGCUGGCGGCGUGCCUAAUACAUGCAAGUCGAGCGAACAGACGAGGAGCUUGCUCCUUUGACGUUAGCGGCGGACGGGUGAGUAACACGUGGGUAACCUACCUAUAAGACUGGGAUAACUUCGGGAAACCGGAGCUAAUACCGGAUAAUAUUUCGAACCGCAUGGUUCGAUAGUGAAAGAUGGCUUUGCUAUCACUUAUAGAUGGACCUGCGCCGUAUUAGCUAGUUGGUAAGGUAACGGCUUACCAAGGCAACGAUACGUAGCCGACCUGAGAGGGUGAUCGGCCACACUGGAACUGAGACACGGUCCAGACUCCUACGGGAGGCAGCAGUAGGGAAUCUUCCGCAAUGGGCGAAAGCCUGACGGAGCAACGCCGCGUGAGUGAUGAAGGUCUUCGGAUCGUAAAACUCUGUUAUUAGGGAAGAACAAACGUGUAAGUAACUGUGCACGUCUUGACGGUACCUAAUCAGAAAGCCACGGCUAACUACGUGCCAGCAGCCGCGGUAAUACGUAGGUGGCAAGCGUUAUCCGGAAUUAUUGGGCGUAAAGCGCGCGUAGGCGGUUUUUUAAGUCUGAUGCGAAAGCCCACGGCUCAACCGUGGAGGGUCAUUGGAAACUGGAAAACUUGAGUGCAGAAGAGGAAAGUGGAAUUCCAUGUGUAGCGGUGAAAUGCGCAGAGAUAUGGAGGAACACCAGUGGCGAAGGCGACUUUCUGGUCUGUAACUGACGCUGAUGUGCGAAAGCGUGGGGAUCAAACAGGAUUAGAUACCCUGGUAGUCCACGCCGUAAACGAUGAGUGCUAAGUGUUAGGGGGUUUCCGCCCCUUAGUGCUGCAGCUAACGCAUUAAGCACUCCGCCUGGGGAGUACGACCGCAAGGUUGAAACUCAAAGGAAUUGACGGGGACCCGCACAAGCGGUGGAGCAUGUGGUUUAAUUCGAAGCAACGCGAAGAACCUUACCAAAUCUUGACAUCCUUUGCUCCUUCUAGAGAUAGAAGUUUCCCCUUCGGGGGACAAAGUGACAGGUGGUGCAUGGUUGUCGUCAGCUCGUGUCGUGAGAUGCUGGGUUAAGUCCCGCAACGAGCGCAACCCUUAAGCUUAGUUGCCAUCAUUAAGUUGGGCACUCUAAGUUGACUGCCGGUGACAAACCGGAGGAAGGUGGGGAUGACGUCAAAUCAUCAUGCCCCUUAUGAUUUGGGCUACACACGUGCUACAAUGGACAAUACAAAGGGCAGCGAAACCGCGAGGUCAAGCAAAUCCCAUAAAGUUGUUCUCAGUUCGGAUUGUAGUCUGCAACUCGACUACAUGAAGCUGGAAUCGCUAGUAAUCGUAGAUCAGCAUGCUACGGUGAAUACGUUCCCGGGUCU